GCGUGUCCAAAACGUGGCCGUCGUAGGCUAAUGGCACUCUGAGGUAGCUGUAAGGUAUCACUGGAGCCACGUAUCCGGGCUCUGCGAUGGCCAGGGUGCAGAUUGUAGCGAAGAUGAUCUGCAAUUUGAAAAAGUCAGAGUUUGAAAGAGCAAGGUUGAUGGAAAUGGAGUUAUGGUGGAAAAUGAAUUCAGUGAAGCGUGUCUUUGCGUGUGAGGCAACGUGUAUUUUUCAAACGCUCCAAGCAUAAUUAGAAAUAGAAUAACGAGCAGUAAAGAAGGUUCCUUGUAGUUGAAUUAAUUCGGUGGGAUGCGAUUUAGCGUUUAAUAGUUUGAGGCAUAGUGAAGAUAAUUAGGUAAGAGGCGUUAAAGAAACAAGUUAAUGGAAAAGUGUGAUGAAGCGUGGAAAGAACUUUUUUAUGGUUGGUUUGACGACUGAGCAGGCAUACGAAUUGCAACUGUUCAUAUAAAGAGGCUCCUGUUAGAACGUGGGAUGUUAGUAUGUCAAUGACGAAGAAACCUAGUGACACGGAAAAACUCGGUUAGUUAUUAAUAAGUAACGAUUGCAGAUUCCUUUUUUUUCGAUUUGCAUGGUCAAAAAACUAAUUAUCUAAUACGUAACAACUUUUUAUAAUAAUUAAUAUUCAGUGUACCGAUUUUUCUAGUAAUAAUUGUAAUUUUGCAGCAAUAGCAAUGUAAUUUCUCUAUUCGUUUAAUUUAAUUCAGAAAAAUUGCGUGUACCUAAACUAUCGUUAAUAAUAGUUAGAAAACGGUCUCAUUUCUAAUUAUCUAAUAACAGAUAAAUAAUCAUUAUAUUUUAAUAAUAUUUUAACGAUCAACGUUCCAAAGUUAAUAACGAUCGAUUUCUAGAUCUAUACAAGCUAUCAAAUUUUACAAAGAAAGAUUUCUAAACCUACAAAGAGCUAUUCAUUUCUACGAUAGUCAAAAUCAAACACGUACACGAUACUUGACCGAUCAAUCUUGCCCUAAUUAAUCAAUUUUAAAUUGACGUAAAUUCAAGAAUUAUUUAACGAACUAUUUUCUGCUCACAGCGCCCUAAUCUGAACUACCACUUGUGCAAUAUCCUUCGAAAAUAUCCUCACCAAUCAUACUGCCACGACAAAAAGGAAAAUCCCUGGAUAUCCAUACUCACUAUCGUUCUCAUGGUUAGUCACGUGGAAAAGCGCUGCUGGCAGAUAGAAUGUGAAUUUUCCAACCAGUACUCGCCCUAAAGUAUCAACGGUGAUGUGCUGCCCUGUCGAGCCACGGUGUCUCCUUUUAUAUAGGUGAAUCUGGUAGGGAGUCGUCGACCCGUAGGAGGGGACCACACCCUGGGAAGCAAUUGGUACACCUAAAGUGGUGACAUUGACAUUACUCUCUGGUCUGUCCGUCUCUUGUCUGCUCGUCUUUCAAAAGGAUCUCUCGAGGUCAGGUGCAACUGGUGAACUUACUCCUUGGAGUCCGACAAAAAUUGCCAACCAUUCUCUUUUCUUAUAAAUGGUACGUUCGUUGUCCCAAGAAACUGAUAUCUUGGGCGAAUAGCGAUAGUUUAUAUUAUUAGACGGCGAAUCCUCGUGCAAAUUCAUACUGUAGUUUCCCAAUAUAAUUAGAAAAAUAGAACUUAAACAGGAAAUUCUAUAUAUAUUUGUACAUCUCCAAAUUUGAUUUUUCACUGGGUGUGUGAUGUGGUUAAAUUUGUGACGAUUCGUAGGAGGUUUGGUAUUUGUUACGUUACUUGUCAAGUACAAUUAAAUAUUUUUACUCUGAAUAGAUUUUCCUGUAUCUUUGAACGUUUUAAAAAAAAGGUAAUUUUUCAUUCGAUCGCGAAAUACAUAAAGUAGUGCUUUUGAUUUUAUAGGGGGUGAGUAAUAGUUACUCUAUUUCUUGUACUUGUAUUAUUAAUCGAUAUAAGUAAAGUAUUUCAAGUAUUACGCGUAAGUAUUGUAGCCACUAGAAUACUUAAUAGAAUAUUUAGAGUACUCUCAUUUAUGUGGAAAAUUUCGAUAAAAUUUUCGCGUGUUAUUAAGUAUUCUACUUAAGUAAAAUUAUCUUUUGCGUAUUUUGCGAGUGAAAAGAGAUAAUUGGAGAAUUUAUACCUUAUACUUUAUCUUUACUUUUACAGCUUGUUCGCUGCUGUACGUUUUAAAUGAUCGAUUUUAUCAAUUCCAUGGGUUAUAAAGCAUAAAUUGAUUUAUAAACUAUUUAGUACGGUGUUUUCAAUACGAGUCGAGGGUAAGAUAUGAUUCUUUUGUUAUUUAUAAGUCACUAAAUAUAGCUAUUAAGAAAGUUGUAAAGUGAGUCGUUGAAGGGCUAAUUGAGAAUUCAUGGGUAGGUGACAGUAGUUUAAGCAUUUACCAAGGUAAUACGCUUUAAGUAAAAAUGACUGAAGGAUACAAAUAAUUAAGUUACAUUUCACUUUAAGAAAAUGAAUAUUUCAUUCUUUAAUUUGAGAAUAUUUCAUAUUUGACAAAUGUUUCGAUACUUCGAACAUUAAAUUGAUCGAUUCGAUACUUCUUUAAGAGAAAGUAUUUGCAUAUGUAGAAUUAAAAAAGUUUGCCUUCGUAAACAAAUUUUUGAGUCACCACUUUAAAGAACUUUCUAGAACUAUUAUAUUCUAUAGUCUAAUUGUACAAUCUCUCGUA